rnacentral:rRNA from 1 species
GACGAACGCUGGCGGCGUGCCUAAUACAUGCAAGUCGAACGCAGUGGGGAUGGGUGAGUAAAAAGUGGGCAACCUCCCAUCAGAGGGGAUAACACUUGGAAACAGCUGCUUACCCGCUAUUGGUGGAUCGACUCGCGGGGCAUUAGCUAGUCGGUGGGGUAACGGCUCACCAAGGCGACGAUGCAUAGCCGACCUGAGAGGGUGAUCAGCCACACUGGAACUGAGACACGGCCCAGACUCCUACGGGAGGCAGCAGUGGGGAAUCUUGGACAAUGGACGAAAGUCUGACCGAGCAAUGCCGCGUGAAUGAAGAAGGUUUUCGGGUCGUAAAGCUCUGUUAGUGGAGAGGCGGUAUUUAACCAGAAAGCCACGGCUAACUCCGUGCCAGCAGCCGCGGUAAUAC